GGAUCAUUCUGAGUUUACGCUCUACAACCCUUUGUGAACAUACCUAUAACUGUUGCUUCGGCGGGUAGGGUCUCCGUGACCCUCCCGGCCUCCCGCCCCCGGGCGGGUCGGCGCCCGCCGGAGGAUAACCAAACUCUGAUUUAACGACGUUUCUUCUGAGUGGUACAAGCAAAUAAUCAAAACUUUUAACAACGGAUCUCUUGGUUCUGGCAUCGAUGAAGAACGCAGCGAAAUGCGAUAAGUAAUGUGAAUUGCAGAAUUCAGUGAAUCAUCGAAUCUUUGAACGCACAUUGCGCCCGCCAGCAUUCUGGCGGGCAUGCCUGUUCGAGCGUCAUUUCAACCCUCAAGCUCUGCUUGGUGUUGGGGCCCUACAGCUGAUGUAGGCCCUCAAAGGUAGUGGCGGACCCUCCCGGAGCCUCCUUUGCGUAGUAACUUUACGUCUCGCACUGGGAUCCGGAGGGACUCUUGCCGUAAAACCCCCAAUUUUCCAAAGGUUGACCUCGGAUCAGGUAGGAAUACCCGCUGAACUUAAGCAUAUCAAUAAGCGGAGGAAAAGAAACCAACAGGGAUUGCCUCAGUAACGGCGAGUGAAGCGGCAACAGCUCAAAUUUGAAAUCUGGCCCUAGGCCCGAGUUGUAAUUUGCAGAGGAUGCUUUUGGUGCGGUGCCUUCCAAGUUCCCUAGAACGGGACGCCAGAGAGGGUGAGAGCCCCGUACAGUUGGACACCAAGCCUUUGUAAAGCUCCUUCGACGAGUCGAGUAGUUUGGGAAUGCUGCUCAAAAUGGGAGGUAUAUUUCUUCUAAAGCUAAAUACCGGCCAGAGACCGAUAGCGCACAAGUAGAGUGAUCGAAAGAUGAAAAGCACUUUGAAAAGAGGGUUAAACAGCACGUGAAAUUGUUAAAAGGGAAGCGCUUGUGACCAGACUUGCGUCCGGUGAAUCACCCAGCUCUCGCGGCUGGGGCACUUCGCCGGCUCAGGCCAGCAUCAGCUCGCUGUCGGGGACAAAAGCUUCAGGAACGUAGCUCUCUUCGGGGAGUGUUAUAGCCUGUUGCAUAAUACCCUUCGGCGGGCUGAGGUACGCG
rnacentral:rRNA from 1 species